rnacentral:tRNA from 1 species
ACCUAGCUGGCUCAAUCAGUAGAGCACGUGACUCUUGAUCUCAGGGUUGUGAGUUCGAGCCCCACUUUGGGUG